UACGUAGGGGGCAAGCGUUGUCCGGAUUUACUGGGCGUAAAGAGCGCGCAGGCGGUCGUCCAAGUCGCGUGUGAAAGCCCCGGGCUCAACCUGGGAAUGGCAAUGGAUACUGGCAAGCUAGAGUGCGGUAGAGGGUAGUGGAAUUCCCGGUGUAGCGGUGAAAUGCGUAGAGAUCGGGAGGAACACCAGUGGCGAAGGCGGCUACCUGGACCAGCACUGACACUGAGGCACGAAAGCGUGGGGAGCAAACAGG
rnacentral:rRNA from 1 species